CAGAGAGAAGAAAGAGUGGUAAUGAUUAUUAUUAUUAUUUCAUGCUUAAAUGAGAAAAUCGUCAGCUACAAUGAAUACCUGCGUGCUCUGAAAAGAAUCUUCCUCUCUAUCUUUUCUAUAGAAAUCUCUAGAAUAGCACGGGCAUUCGAGACCUCAAUGUUUAAAUACGCUUUUUAAUUACUUCACGGUUACGUACUUUGCCAUAAAAAAUAUAACAAUGGAAAUUUUUUUUAUUUAGCCUUAAAAUGGUUUUAAUAUUUUCAUGAAAUGGUGGGAUCCAUUUCUUUUUAAUACUAAUAUAAAAGAUAAAAUAUUAUACGUAUCAUUCUAGAUUUAAUUUCUGAUAACCGCAUAAUUUCAAAUGUCUACGAGAAUUUUCUGGAAAUUAAUUAGCGCGAUAAUUAGCAGUAAAAAAAUAUUUAAAAAUUAAUAAUAAAUGUUAGUGGAAGGGCCUGUCAAAUAUUCGCUCUAGAUGACUCGAAUUAAAAUAGUUUAUUGAAAUAAUUUGAAGCGUAUAAUAUCUUUAUGUACAUACGUCUUGAAUAUUAUAGGAACAGAGGCAUAUACACGUUUCAAAAGAGGUACAUACGUGGACUACUAUAUUAUUUCUUGAGAACUCAAGAAGAAAGAAAGCGUCUUGAGGGGAAAUAAGCAGUAUUUGCCGAGUCGAACGGGACGAUUCCCCCUUAUAUGACAUUUCAGCUGCUCUCUCUUCUCGAGUUCUCGAGGAAUUCUCGAGAAGAGCGUCUCGAAUAUAUAAGCAUUCACACACGUGUCACACGUGUAUGUGUAUGUAUGCGCACGAAACAACGAUCGAGAUCGAUUAAUACGUAAAUCUCGCACGCACAGGUUGGGAAAUUCAUUGUAAUCCUCUGCAGGCAGAGACCUUAAUCUCUUCCCAAGAAUGAUGGAAGAUGCGGAGAAGCUGCCGUGGGUUUGCCCGCCAAUAUGGAUUCCGCUCUCGCGCGAUCGGAGCCCUUAAGCACUUCGGCAACUCGUUUUGGCCACCCUUUGAAUGACAAUAACCCCUCCGCCAAUAUAAAGGGGAAAAAAGAAGAAAACGUGGUUGCGGACAACGGGGAUAAGAAAUUGAGAGAGUAAAUGUUGUCAAACGCGCGUAAUAUCGAUUACAGAUCACUCUUCCGAAAACCGCUGGAUUUAUAAGGAUUCCAUAAGAUUUUCGAUUGUGUCGAAAUUCGAAGUAAGCAAAUUUUAUUUGCUUUUCGUUGAAAGAUCGCGGUACUCGUAGGCCAAUGGAGAAUUUUAUUUCUUUGCAUUUUACAAAUAUAUUAUUUUUCUUAUGCAUCGCGUAUUCACAUUAAUCUUACUGAUUGUAUUUACCAAUUGGCUUUUAUUAAUGUAAUUUCAAUUUGUCCAUUUUCGUUAGUUUCAAAUCAGGAACAUUAUAGAAUCACAUUUGUGGCGUAUGAUACGCGAUUUGCUUAGACCGUAAUCUAUGGUUGUGUACUUUUCGAAAUAGCAAUGAUGGUAAGUAAAAUAACGGGUUUUCUCAGUUACAUCUUGAUAGAUACGUACUUCUGAUAAAUAGGAUACGACUCGCAUUAAUUCAGUGCCUUGAAACCGUGGUGUUGUGUAAUCAAUGUCAUUCUGUGGCUUAGAGAUAAAACAUUUGACGUCCUACAUUUGAUCUAGGACACUUCCCUCCUCCCUUUUCUCCUCCUUCUUCCGAACCACAAAAUGACAUUGACGAUUCUAAUCCAAGGUAUUAAGACAUUCUCGGUCCGCUAUUCGCAGUCAGAAAGUUGCUUCUAAAGUUAGCGAAUCGCUACUUUUUCAAAUAACUGGACACCGGAUAAACCAAGCAGAAAAGAGACUUAAAGACUAAAAAAGGAUGCGGGAAGAACAAACAUGGAUUGACAUUCCGCUGAGUACAAAAACAACACGGGAGGCGGAGACGUGCAUCGAUGUCAGUAGUGCGCGCGUACACGAAAGUCAUAACUCGUGGGACUCAUGAAUAAACGCGCGACAUAACGAGUCUUUUCCCGUGGGAAUUUUAUACGAGACGAGAAUAUAUCGUGAGAGAUCACGAUGGCCAAGAGAGAAAGAGAAAAGUAUACAAAGAGAGAGAGAGAGAGAGAGAGAGAAAGAGAAAGAGAGAGGGAGAAAGAGAGAGAAAGAAAGAGAUACACAUGCACGAUGUAUGCACUUCGUAUUUGGCCUUUAAAAUAACCGCUAGGGACGGUCCACGCGGGGAAUAACAAGAGUGAGAGUGGGAGAGGACUCUUCUACGUGAUCCUCGAAGAGUAGCAUUAUCCCGCCGGCCGGCGCCGCGAUAGGAUCUGAAACGGCGCGAGCGAGAGGACGAGGUCGACGAGUGCAACAACGUUGUUGCACGCGCGCAUUGCAUACGUAGGUAAGGUGCAUGCAUCUUACUUCCGGCGGAGAAAAAAAAAAGGAUCGAUCGAUCUAUCUUUCUCUCCUCCUCCUCCUCUCUCUUUCCUCCCUCGUUGUUGACGGGGGUCUCGCGGGGUCAAUCGGAGCACAAUUUCCGCCUGCUCUCAUCCUCUCCUCGCGGCUAAAUUGCCCUAAUCUCGCGAUCGAGCCGCGAACGCGCCAGGCUGAUCCACCCCGGAAAUUUCUAAAUAUAUUAGGAUCAGGAUUUCCGAGAAUGCGUCAAGAGGCGUAUUCUCGAAGAACCCUGAGCGAACUUCUAAACUCUAUUCGAACAACUUCAAAUUAAACGUAUUUUAUGCUUUUUCUAACUUUACAAGAAAUUGUCUGGCUUUCACAAAUUACAUACAUAAAAUAUGACGUAUAUUUUAGACAAUAAUAUCUAUAAGAUAAAAUUAAGAAUUUGAAAAUGAUUUAUGGAUGUUCAAAAUUAACAGUUUAUUUGUUCGACCAGAUAUUGGAUAUUUUUUAAGUAAGAAUUCUAUUGCUUUAAAUUUUCUUUCUUAUAAUUUAAGUUCUAAACCUCACUUUGUGAAAAAUUAGUUGUUACUUCUAAUUUUGAAAUUAUAAUAUUGAAAUCGGAGAUUUAUCCCGAGAUCAAAGUACACCUACCCAUAUAUCUAUCUUGUCGCUUCGUACCUUCUCCGUUCGACCUCUUGCAUCUCAGAAGAUUCAGUUUAAGUUCCACAUAGUCACCUAUUCUAUUCCAUUCUAUUCUAAUGCAUUCCCUCUCUCGGGUAAAACUUCCGCUCUCUCCGGAGUACUCGUCGUGUAAACGAGUACGUUUCGGCGCAAGUAGUGAAUACGAACAGGAGUAGGAGGAGGAGGAGGAGGAGGAGACAAGAGCCGUGACGCGACUCGGCCGCGAUGAAUGAUUUAUCGCCCGCUCGUGGAUUAUCCGCCGCGCAUAAAUUACACAUACUCCCCUCGAAACGAGUGCGUGCGCGCGGCGACACGGCGGAAAUGCGAAACGCGGUAACGGUAUCGCCGGAAACCGUGGCGCGAAUCGUGGCCACGACCCAGGCGGAGGAAGUGUCGGGGACACAUGAACACCGACACGAGAAACAGAGACGAAAGCGCACACAGAUGUGCAUUCCGCCCGUUGCCGCCGCCGCCACGCUCGUAAGCAGAUUACACCCGCGUGACUGUGUCGCUGUCUAAUUGCCCGCGUCGACUUAAAUUCCAAACCGAUAAGCACUCCCGUCGCAGGGAGGAGCAAACGUCAGUUGGCCCGCGCGAGAUUUCGGCAAUGAACGUUUAGUUAACGAGCGAUACUUCCUAACUGAAGGUAACGUGAAGUUUGUUCGGGCUCUGUUUGAGAUAGAAUCUGUGUUCUUGUUUGCUCGCGCACACAAUGAGAAGCCUGGAAACGAAACGCGAUACACACAUUCGUGCCCGUAUUUUCUUACUUAAUAUUAGCAUUAAACGGAGGAAAGUUUAAAUGAUUUUAAUGGAGAUGCCAAUAUUAUAUACGGAAUGUUUUCGAUUACCUGAAAUAUCUUUGUUACCUUUGUGCAGAAAGCAGAAGAAAUAUCCUCGGAACGAGAUUCUUCCGAUUCGAUGGGAAGAAGGAACAUUUUGAUGACACUUGCCUUUUGCCCGCGAUCGCAAAAGGAUUCUGGACCCGAGUCGACUUUUCCAUAGUUGUUGGCGAGGCACUUAUCGACUUUUAACUCGUCGGUUUUUUCACCAAGUACGUAAGCCACCCGAUAUUACGCGACUCCGGGUCGGGCGACGUUAGCGGGCGGCGUACGCAAAGCAAGAACAGUUACGGCGAUAAAUGUCGAAGCACGCCGCCGGGUGUGUUUUAUUUCCGCGCUCCCGCAAUAUGGAAAUUCUCAAUUUUCGCCCAACACCGCGUAAUUUCCGUCUUACGCUUUUCCUCGGCGGUAUGACCGCUGCGAUUCCGUCGAUUCGCGAUAUUCCGAGAAAGGGAGCGCGCCGAUUUCCAGCAGCAAAAAAUAUGUACAUUUCGUCCCACGAUAAUCGAUGAAUUGAAUUUUCCUUAAUGAAAUAAAGAUUAAAUAUUAAGCUCUCGCUUGAAUCCCGAUAAAACCUUUUCUCCUCCUACUGUAAUAUUUUAAUAUUAAUACACGUAUUGUAAUAUUUUAAGUUCGUUGCAGCAUGAAAGUUCUGACCAUCUUUUAAAUCGAUACUCUUUCAAGCUGACCUCGCCCGACUUUCUCGAAGCGAAACUUCACGACUCCCGCCGCGGAAAGAGAUGACACUUCGUGUCGAAGGAUUGAGUCGGAAAUGUCACCGCACUCGGGAUUUGCGAGAAUGCGCGUACAACGAUCCGGAAGUUCCGUUCGGGAAAAUCUUUACAAGCGGCGGUCGGGCCGCGUGAGAGCAAAAGGAUCGAGCAAAAACCAAAACACGAGAGUAACUCUCUCUCUCUCUCUCUCUCUCUCUUUCUCUGUGCUAAAAGUUCGCCGGUGUGCAUUUCCGGCGCGGCAGAGUUUCGCAAUUCGCUUUCAGAGGUAAUCAGCGAGAUUCCGAUUGAGUGUCGAGGCCAGACUUUCGGGGUAAAUAAGAGUUAAUCGAGGACUUUGCAAUUUAUUCAUUGACACCUUUCGUGUAAAAUCACGCCGGAAUUAAAAAUGCUUUCGUGCUCUAUGUCAGAGAUAAGUGUAAAUUAAAUUACUUCGAACUCGUUUAAGAGUUAGCUGAUAAAAAUCAACCCUGUUAUGUAUCCUUACUCUAAAUUAAAUAUAUAUGAAUUAAAUGUACCGCGAUUAAUUUUCUAACCCGUUGCACUUGAAUUCAGACCAAAUUAAACUGCUAUUGUCGUCAAGAAUCCCGCAUCUUCGUGUAAUAGCUUGCUUCUUGCGCCGCUGUGCGUCGCACAAAAUUCCACGAGAUGGAAUAUCGCUUAAACAUACCUCUGUAAGUGCGAUUUAAUCGGAUUCGAACAUUCGACGAAAAACCGUCACGUCGCGUCGUUCCGCCUGGCGGCCGGAGUCAAGGAAUUAACUUGAAAGGAUUUAGCGAGUCUAGAGACCAGGUUAAAUCGCAGGAGGAUCCUCAUCCUUCCUUCCCACGCGAGAAAGGGGGUCGGCAAAACACGUCGCACGUCCACGAGGAUCGCGGCAACGCGGUCGGCAGAGAAAACUGCAUCUCGCCUGCGCGGUGCGCCUCGACCGUCCCGGCCAGAAUGCCAGGGACUGGACACGGCUAUUAUUACCAAUUGCGCGUAACAGCUAAUUACCCGUAAUUAUACUGGGGAUAUCAAGCUUUGAGGAUAACGGCCCGGUUCGUUCCCGUCGUCCGAGGGAGAUUGCGGCACGACGGUCGGACGGCCGGUCGCGAUAUUUACUGACCACUAUAUGCCUCUACGUCGUCAUUGCUCGUCAUCGCAUUCCCCGCUUUUGACGAAGAGAGGAAGGGGGAAGGGGGAAAACUUCUUUGACGAUCACGAGAUGCGCGAUCGCAAUUAGGACGGCACGUGAGCGACCGAACGUGGAAAGCGGCGGUUUUUAUCUUACAAAACGGACGGCAAUUCCGCGUAAUGAACAUCGAAGAUUGCACUUGAUGAGCCAGUUAUUUUGACGAUUUUGCAUCGAUACAACAGUGGCAGAAGUCGAUUAGUCACGGCAUAUUUUCUAUUGGUCUCGCGCACAGAGGUAGGUAGGUAGAUAGAUUUUAUAAAUAAAGUGAAAAUAUACUUCUUAGCGGAAGACAAGAGGUCAGGAGCAUUUAUUUUAAGAUAAAAGCAACGAAGGUAGAGGUACAUUAUGCAUUUCACAUGAACAAUCUUCUGCUUUUAGUGCGUAGCAUUUUGCUUCGUACUUUCAAGUGUUUGUUUAUUCAUUGUCAAAGAAGGUAACAAAGAAAUUUAUAAUUCAUACAUCUACAUUUUUGCAAAGUAAAAGUAACAUAUCUUUUCAACGAAUUUUUCGUUGACACCUAGCUUGAGGUAAAUGUUAGCAUUUUAAGCAAACGUAUAAUGCCACUGCUUAUAUUUCUCACAUCAUUCACUUCGAUGAAUAGACGAACGAAGGAAUUAUUCGUUUCGUUUUAUUCGCGUAACACAAUACCUACUACAUUCGCCUGGUAGCCUCAUCAGGACACGUGCUAGCCUCCCCCCACGGAAGUAUAAUAUCUCACGGCGUCGUAUAUGCUGACGUGACAUAAAUCUCUCGCGUGGGUCAUUCGGCUGUCUUAAGCCCCGGAAGCGAAGUGAGCGUUCCGUAAUUAUACGAGGAGAAAAUAGUGCCCUUUUUUUUCUCCCCUUAAUGGAAUUACUACAGAGGCGAAACUUCGGGGGGCUUACGUGACGUUAUCGACGAAUGAAACGGGCGGUCUCGGCGAACUACGGCCAUUAAUUAGGAGCUCAGGAUGUAUCGACAGACCUGCCAGAACUCGUACUCGCGCGCGAGGUGCGAAGUAAUUUUUCACACCAGAAAACUACUUCUCGCAUUUUAUUCGCACGAACGGCCACCUGCAAUUUUCACAAAUCAGAAGCGUACCGUCGCGUAUCACGGCAUGGGAAUCGCAUUCUGCUUUUCGACACUCUCAUAUUUUAUAAUAAACUAAGGCUAAGAGGUAUCAAAAAAUUUCUAAUUAUUUCAUAGCGAUUCUCUAAAAAGAUUAGAUUUUUUGUGUUUAAUACUAUCAGUAUAAUAAUUAUAUCAAAAGAAUAUUUAAAAAAUAAUAAAAAAUUAAACUUUCUCUCAAUAUAAAAUAUUUCUCCUAGCCAAGUUCCACUGAAAAAAAAAAAAAUCAAAUUACUAAGAGACAAAUCGUGUAAUAUUUUUACAUGUACAAUUAGCUAAACUAUAAACAUGAUAUAUAACGAAAGAAUGGAACAGAGAGUGGAAGACGAUAAAUUUCAACGUGAAAUUCUGAUAUCCUCGGGGGGAGCUUAGCACGACGUCCGCUUGUACAAAGGAUUAAAGGUGUUAACCUCGCGUACAGGGCGAUUAGGGCCACCGAGAAGUGUAUAUCGCCCGCGGGCGAUACGGCAGGGGACGAACCGGCGUUUUAACGCGACGCGGAAAUAUUCAGUGAGAAGAGUACUAAAAGCCGUGGAGUAAGAGAGAGAGAAAGAGAGUAUGUGUGUGUAUGUGUGUGUGUGAAAAGCCCUUGUGCAAUACAAGGGCAAAUAUCGUUGCUUCGGUGAUAUCCAGCCAAGUUUCGUCGCUUUUGAUAUUGCGACCGAGGAAAUUUGCUAACUUGCAAACUGCCGCGACGGCGAUAGACCUCGUUUCGUCAAGCAUGCACUGUACAGCAACCGUACAGACGACGGUCUAUCCAGCCCGAUGAAUACGUCCUCGUAAAAGGCAUCGAGAUACUCGGCAACGAGUUAGUCAACGUUGUGCUUGCAUAUGUGCCGCUGCGUCGGCAUGCUGCGAUAAUAAUUGACAUCGCGAUAGCGUGUGCGAUACGUGACCUUCAAGUUAGUUACUCAUAUCAUUAAAAGAUAAUAAUAAAUGGAAAAGAUAGAGAAUCACGAAAUGCCAAUUAUUUAUUUUUCUUCUGUGUAUUAUUAACUGCAACGACUCUCAAUUAAAUUGCUUUCUCGACAAGUUCUUAGUUACGGAUAGCUUGAUUUUGAUGAUUAACGUUUUUGCGAGCACAUUAUUCUUUUUCGCUGACAAAUAAUUUUUCGAAACUACGUCAAUGCCAAAUAAAUAACUCACGAAGUUGCAAGUGGAACACAUGUGUCUCGCAGAUCAACGAGAGAGAGAGAGAGAGAGAGAGAGAGAGAGAGAGUUAAAUAAGGCAUAAUUACCGUGAGAAGAAUCUAAACUUGCACCAGAUUCGCGAUACAACCAGAUGCCGGAAGGCAGCAGCGGGGGGUCACGGCCCUCGUGCUCUUCACAGGUCAGACGCACACUCGGAAGCUGUAAAUCGCAUUUCGCUCGAGUCUGCGAGGCUUGGAUUUAUUUUCGCGGAACACGCCCACGCAGCACGCGCCCGUACAGCAUUGUGAAGAAAUUACGGCGGUCUCUCGCGAGGAGUCAAGCGAGCAUCUUUACGACGCGUGUUGAAAUUCGUCGAUGUGAAUGGCUGAUAGAAGAGUUCCCAUCCGUUCGUUUCCACAGAAAGGAAUUUGAGAAGCACAUCGAAAGAUCCAUCGAAAGAGAUUUGAUGUAAUAAUUUUCGAAAAAAAAAAAUAUGUAUUAUGAGAAAAGACAGUAAAUUUAAUUACACGAUAGCAAUAAAUAACGCGAAUUUGCCCAGUCAUGACGUUUUGAUUAUUACACCUCCCUUAGCUAUCCUCGAUGUCACUAAAAAUAAUAAAUAUCUGUCUAACCACACAUUCUUCUGAACAGUUCUCCAUUGUCAUAUAAAUGAAACGUCAAUCACCGCCAUAAAACCAUUUAAAAGUUUUCCAGAAUUUUAUAGACUUUUCCGCAUCUAUCGCAGUAUGCUCUUCUCACUUCCCACAUGUUUGGGAGAUUGUUAGUCGACUUCUCUCCUAGGGGCAAGAAGAAGCCUCCUUCCCGCGAGUCGCCCGCUCGCUUGGGACUCACGUGCUCUUUUGCCGCACAUGACGUUGGCCGCAUACACGCGAUUGCCCAAUGCUUAUAAUGCGACUCCGGCGAACGGGGCAAUUUGCGGUAAAUCACUUCCCUCGAAUCUCUUUCUCUCCUCCCUCUUUUCCAUCCGCCGCCGCUCUCUCCCUUUCUCUCGUUCUCACUCUCGCCACUCUACACAUGCACUUCGUACGGUUAUGCAUCCUCUUCUUUCCCCCCGUCCAUUUAUCUUGCUCCAUGCCAAUUUCAUGUAUUCAGGAUUUAUACAGUUCGUUACUUUCACUUAUUGUUAGUCACUUCACUUCUGUUGCUGCUGCUUUUUCUCAUUACUUUUACAUAAAACAGUCCUGCAUUUAAUCUAUGAAUCACCUCUGCGUAUGCACAUUUUUUAUCUUCUCUUCAGAGUAGAUCAAUGAUCGAAGAACGAUUGUGGUAAAAGUAGGAUAACGGUUGGCACACGAUGACAAGCGGCGUUCAUUAAAUGGUUAGGCAUGCAGAAAUUAGAUUGCGCUACUUUAUGAAGAGUCGUACCGUAACUCCCGCUACUGCUACUGUUAUAACUCCACUAAGUGAUCCGAAAACUCAACAAAAAUCACUAACGCAACUUAUUAAUGUAUGCAAAAUUUUGUAACAAUUAAAUCACAGUCGAGAAAUGUGAUCAUGGCAAUCAACUUUUAUGUAUAAGUAUUAGACAACUUUAGUGUAAGAAAGAUAUAAUUUAUGUUUUAUUAGAUUUGUCUUUCGCGUUCGUAUAUUUACGUCAUCUCCCAAUUAAUAGUAGGUUUCGGUUUCUUACGAUUCAACUUAUCCAGAUGCAACUUCGUAACUCGACACGAUCAUUAACUCUUGGAUUUCUCGGUCGUCCUCCUUGCCGCAACUGCAAAGCUCUGCAUUCAACUUCUACACCCGGUUCUCGCGGGGGGAAUUUCAUUCCGGGUCAUUUAAUAUCACCCUGUUUCUUCCCUUUUGUCCUCCUCUUUCUCCUCCUCUCUACCUCGUUCUUUCACAAUCGCGCUUGUGGUCUGACACACCUCUUACGUAACAGUCUCGUUUGCACAUCCCGGUAGAGGAAUGAAUCGCAUGAUAUAUAUAUAUAUAUACAUAUACUUGCAUACACCUCUCUGUCAGUAAAUAUGCAUAAAACACACACACGUGUGCGUAGCACAUGAGAGCGCCAACCUGCUCUCUCGUUCAAUGACCGUACACGGUAACCUUUUGAUUCACUCGAUGGCACGUGACCGACGAUGGCUCGUUGCCGACGAAAUAUCUCCUUCGCUUCGUCAUCGACUUCUUCUUCCUUCAUCGGCGUUUACUAGAUAUGCUCAUUACGAGACGUGUUAUAUCGCGUUACGCUAUGGAUACAUACGAUCGAGCGCAUCGUGUUCGGUAAUUAUGAGUAAUAGCCGGUAAUACGCGGGUCUCAUAGAUUGCUCAUAGAUUGCUGCGCCUGCAGCGCAGGGUGGCCCAAAACCAUCACGUAUCUCAUUUAAUCACGGAGGAUAAAUGAGCGGACUGCAAAAGAGGACGGUUAUUUUAUACAUUAAAUGGCGAUAAGAUACUGAGGGAGAAAUUAUUCAACAAUUUGCGAGAAUUAAAGAAUUUUUUCGAGCUGUUUAAGUAUCGAGAGAGUAAUUCAUUAAAAUCGAAAUAAUAAAAUCUUCGGUCGAAUAUUUAACUGGGUCUCAUCUCAAAUUCAGCUACCCAAGCUCUUUAACACAAAGUAAUUUUCUCGACAAAUUAAUUGAUUUCGUUAAGGGAGAAUUUUAAAUCAGUUAGCCAAUCCUUGACUAAAAUUAAAAAAAAAAAAAAAAAGAGAAACAUUCAGAAGCUCCGAGACCCCGUAUAGAUCCAUGGGUUUAUACGACUCCUUCUCUCUAUCGCGAAGCUUUCUCAUCCUCGGAGGCGAUAUACGGGGGCCAUUAUGAGCCGCGGGGGCAUCGAUCAUACCUCUCGGUAUCGAUCGUUGAACCUGUCCGAGGAAAAGCUCGCGGCCGCGAGAGAGGCACGUGCGCUGAUUUACGUCGUGGGACCCAGGCACGUGCCACGCUGGUAGACAUAGUAAUCUGUCCCCCUCGUUCUCCUCCCUCUCUCCCCUCUCUUCUCAUUCUUUUCUCCUUUAUCCGCGCUCCUCUUUCUCUCACUAUUCUUUUCGUCGUAUUCUUCUCUUUUCCCGCGGCGCCGAUAAAAAAUGCAUAAAGAGGUUUUCUCCCUCCGGUAUUUGUCAUCACAAUUUUAUGAUGCUACGAUUUGAUACGCGUAUAACAGCUAAAUAGAAAGCAGCUAAAUAGAAAAGCUAUGAAUAUAAAUAAUAAUUUGUUAUAAAUAUCUUCGGCUUAUUAACAUUCCACUGGGAGGUUUUACAAAAACUUGACGUUUUAUUACUCGUGAUAUAUGUGCGAUUGCAAGAAAGAAAAAUUAUACUUUUCGCAAUUUGUUAGAUGUGUGACGAGUAUCUUAUUCAGGAAUCUGUGACGGAAACGUGAUACUCGUUGAAUUUUAACGACAGACGUCCCGCUUAAGUUAACCAUGUUUAAAUUAUUAUAAGACAAUGUUGAAAAUACUUAAGGCCGACCUCCGAUAGAGUUGUGCCUUCCGGUCACCUCGUAGAUUUAUAACAGUAACAACAUCGGAGGAAGUUACGGUAUGACUUCGCGAAGUAGCGCAAUCUAAUUUCAGCACCUAACUUUCUAAUGAACGUCACUCGUCAUUGUCGUCGUGCGCCGAACCGUUAUUCUACUUCUACUUUGUAAUCAUGCAAACGUCACUCCGUUCCCCUGCGCUCGACCGAUUGCCAUACAAAGUCAGCGAAUUGCACGGCAUGCGCGCGCGCACACACUCACACACACACACACACACACACACACACACACACACACACACACACACGCACGCACGCACGCACACACAUCGCUAUCACACACCACCGACCAUACCCGGGAAUUCUACCGAGCGACCAAUCCUUAUCCCCGAGACAUGACAAAUCGCCGUAAAUCAGCAUCAUUUCGGCGCCAUUAAUCACCAUUUGAUUAUUAACCAUCGCGGACGCGGCGAUAAAACACCGUUUCAUCCAUGUUGCUUCCCACGUUUCCACGGUAAAUUCGUUAUAUCUUGAACAAGCACAACCUCAUUCGUGAUAGUUUCACCCACGAUUUGUACACCCGGCGAUUCCUCGUGAUCUAUGUACAGAUGAAGUGGACGGAAUCGGGGGUAUGAUACUGCAACUUCUCGUGGGGAUAAUUUCUCGUGAUCUUGCGAAAAUUACAUUGAUUAACGGACGGCGCGGGUGACAUUGCGAUAAUAAUUAGCGUGUCGUCGAUAAGUAUACCUUUGCAGGGUAGUUUGCGGCUGGCUUUGCAGGCGACUUUUUCACUCAGACCCGAGACGGGCUCCGGUGGCUCGGAGCCACUAUCCGUUUUCGCGGGCCGAUCGGCCGUCACGCUCGUUUAAUUUACAUAAUCCCAUGGCGCGCGAGAAGAGACCGUUAGGCCGAAAGUGCCCCACGCCGCGAAAGGAUCACCGUAAGAGCGUUCGGCCGUUACGGAAUGCUAGGCAAAGAGACGAGACGGCGGAAUAAGGAUGCAAGGAAGAAUAGAGAUGGCCCGGGAAGAGUGGGAGAUGGAAGAGACUGCGAAGAGGGAAGAGAUGUGCGGGAAAAUGAAGUGGAGAAAGGACAAGAAGGAGAGAGCGUGGCUGGCCUGCGUCCGCAAAAACGCGUCCACUUUACCACCAACGGCGCAUCGACAAGCGAUUCUUCCUCACUUCCUUCCUUUCAACGGCCUUUCUUCCUUCUCCCCCUUUUUUUCCAACAAAUGAGAUUUACGACGUACAUAAGUGCGCAUCCAGGGCCGGCUUAAUCUUCUCGAAGCAUCGUAAGCUCGAUAACAUUUAAUAACAAUCGAAAAAUUAAAUUGUAUUAAUGACGCAAUUACUGAAGAAACAAUUACAAGAUAAGAUCUCAUUAAAUUAGAAAAAAAGUGUGUAAAUUACCAAAUUUUGCAAAGAAAUUACAUAUAUAUAUAUAUAUAGUUGAGAAGAUCUUCUUUUCGAUAAAGUGCUUCUUUCUCCGAACAAAAUUAUUAAACGAUUGCAAAUUGCAUUUGAAAAAUGGAGAGAAUUUUACUUGAAUUAUUCAUACGUCUUGUUGCGAUAGACGUACAUUCUGCUUUUAUUACAACCUGCACUUAAUUUAAUAUUUAUAUUUUUCUUCUCUCGUGACCUCGGUUACAGUACUUAACGCUCUGUACUCCUGUUGGAAAUAACCGUGCUAAAUUUCUUUUUUUAUUACCGUGCAAGAAUAUAAACAGUUAAGGUGGGAUAAUACUCGGAGCCGGAUAAUUCUCGGGCACUAUGAACACGACGGACAUAAGCCGUCCUUCCUUCCCAUCCGCGCCGCAGGACACGGUAUGCCAUGGUGAGGUCUCAUUAACUCAAGGACGCCGCUCGUGAACCCCCAUUAUCGACUCGCGAGCACGUCAUUACGUGCGAAUCGCGCUUUUCCCUCGCGCGCGCGCCCUGCCCGCCUUUCCGGACGGAGGAGAAUCGCGUGUCCUUUUUCCGGACGAUAAUGGAAACGUUUCUCAGGCUCGGCAUUCCUGUCCUUCGACGCAGCACGCUCGCUCGUUCGUGCGCGCGUUCAACACGCGUUUUUCCUCUCCCUCUCCUCCUCUCAUCCUGUCGACGACGAGUUACGGGCGUGUGUUGUGAGAUCGCCGUGCGUAGAAAUUAUCGCGCGCGAAAGGAAAAUAUCUCGCUCGUCCGAGUGCGGAAAGCGCUAAA